CUACGGGCCGCUCCAGUAAGGAAUAUUGGGCAAUGGACGCAAGUCUGACCCAGCCAUGCCGCGUGCAGGAUGACAGCCCUACGGGUUGUAAACUGCUUUUAUAUGGGAAAAAUUCUUCCGACGUGUCGGAAGUCGAUGGUACCAUAUGAAUAAGCACCGGCUAACUCCGUGCCAGCAGCCGCGGUAAUACGGAGGGUGCAAGCGUUAUCCGGAUUUAUUGGGUUUAAAGGGUGCGCAGGCGGAAUGAUAAGUCAGUGGUGAAAUCCUACGGCUCAACUGUAGAACUGCCAUUGAUACUGUUGUUCUUGAGUACAGUUGUAGUGGGCGGAAUAUGUCAUGUAGCGGUGAAAUGCAUAGAUAUGACAUAGAACACCGAUCGCGAAGGCAGCUCACUAAGCUGAAACUGACGCUGAGGCACGAAAGCGUGGGGAGCAAACAGGAUUAGAUACCCGCGUAGUC
rnacentral:rRNA from 1 species